CUACGGGCCGCAGCAGUAACGAAUAUUGGGCAAUGGGCGCAAGCCUGACCCAGCGACGCCGCGUGCAGGAUGAAGUCUUUCGGGAUGUAAACUGCUGUCAGGGGUACGGAAGAUCUGACCGAUCCCAAAGGAAGUCUCGGCUAACUCCGUGCCAGCAGCCGCGGUAAGACGGAGGAGGCAAGCGUUGUUCGGAAUCACUGGGCUUAAAGCGCGUGUAGGCGGCUCGGCAAGUGCCUUGUGAAAGCCCUCGGCUCAACCGAGGAACGGCUGGGCAUACUGCCGGGCUUGAGGCAGGUAGGGGCGACUGGAACUCUAGGUGGAGCGGUGAAAUGCGUAGAUAUCUAGAGGAACGCCUGUGGCGAAAGCGGGUCGCUGGGCCUGUUCUGACGCUGAGACGCGAAAGCGUAGGGAGCGAACGGGAUUAGAUACCCGUGUAGUC
rnacentral:rRNA from 1 species